rnacentral:rRNA from 1 species
AUUGAACGCUGGCGGCAUGCCUUACACAUGCAAGUCGAACGGCAGCACGGGGGCAACCCUGGUGGCGAGUGGCGAACGGGUGAGUAAUACAUCGGAAUGUACCCAGUAGUGGGGGGAUAACUAGUCGAAAGAUUAGCUAAUACCGCAUACGCACUAUGGUGGAAAGCGGGGGAUCGCAAGACCUUGCGCUAUUAGAUGAGCUUGCGUCCGAUUAGCUAGUUGGUGGGGUAAAGGCCUACCAAGGCGACGAUCGGUAACUGGUCUGAGAGGAUGAUCAGUCACACUGGAACUGAGACACGGUCCAGACUCCUACGGGAGGCAGCAGUGGGGAAUAUUGGACAAUGGGGGCAACCCUGAUCCAGCCAUGCCGCGUGUGUGAAGAA